UACAGAGGGUGCAAGCGUUAAUCGGAAUUACUGGGCGUAAAGCGUGCGUAGACGGUUAUUUAAGUCGGGUGUGAAAGCCCCGGGCUCAACCUGGGAAUUGCAUUCGAGACUGAAUAGCUAGGGUGCGGAAGAGGGAAGCGGAAUUUCCGGUGUAGCGGUGAAAUGCGUAGAUAUCGGAAGGAACACCAGUGGCGAAAGCGGCUUCCUGGUCCAGCACCGACGUCAGGCACGAAAGCGUGGGGAGCAAACAGG
rnacentral:rRNA from 1 species